CUCUAAAUGAUAGGAGCAACGUUUGGGGGCUAUAAUGGGGUUUUUACUAAUUAAAAUAAUGUGGUUAGCUACUUUCGGAGAGUGGGUCAUGGAAGAAAUACUCUCGUCUGAUAGGAAGUGGAUUUAUUCGUUGUGCUAGUUGCGAGUAGACUUAACUACAUAUAGACUUAACAUGGGGAGAAGGAGAUGAUCAUUUGAUACCCCUUUGUAUAUAUACAUCAGAGUUUACAUAUAUAUAAACUAGUAAGUGGUAAGUAAAUAUAAUUUCAGAGUUGUGAUAUUUAGUUAGUUGUAUUCUUUUUUCCAGAAUCACUGGUAGAUAAGGCUUCACAACCAAAAUGCAGCAUUCAAAUGUAACCAAUGAACAGGAUAAUUGACAAGCAACAAGAGGUGUACUAUUAAUAUAAGUAAAGCAAUAGAAAUAAUGGAAAGAGCUCGCCUGAUCAAGGUGUUGCCAGCGUAUAUCUUUCUCCAAUGGAUAUUCUCUUCGUUCGAAACUUUGUAGAGAUCUGGUGUGUUCAUAAAUGAUCUUGAGAUUCUGUGGAAUCUCAGAGAACACUCGAAGCACCAAUUACUACAAGGCAAUUACAAACAAGAACUGAUUGAUGGGUACAGAAACUUAUAAUUUAACGGAUCUCAUGGAAGCACUAUUUCAAAAAUGUCAUAACAAUAAAUAAAUAAACAUCGAAGUUGUAUAUUUUUUUAUCUCUAGGUAAUUUAACGAAAAUCAUAAAAAAGGUAAAUUAACACG